AGAGUUUGAUCCUGGCUCAGAAUGAACGCUGGCGGCAGGCCUAACACAUGCAAGUCGAACGGGCACUUCGGUGCUAGUGGCGGACGGGUGAGUAACGCGUGGGAACAUGCCCCUUUCUUCGGAAUAGCCUCGGGAAACUGGGAGUAAUACCGGAUAAGCCCUACGGGGGAAAGAUUUAUCAGGAAGGGAUUGGCCCGCGUUGGAUUAGGUAGUUGGUGGGGUAAUGGCCUACCAAGCCGACGAUCCAUAGCUGGUUUGAGAGGAUGAUCAGCCACACUGGGACUGAGACACGGCCCAGACUCCUACGGGAGGCAGCAGUGGGGAAUCUUAGACAAUGGGGGAAACCCUGAUCUAGCCAUGCCGCGUGAUCGAUGAAGGCCUUAGGGUUGUAAAGAUCUUUCAGAUGGGAAGAUAAUGACGGUACCAUCAGAAGAAGCCCCGGCUAACUCCGUGCCAGCAGCCGCGGUAAUACGGAGGAGGCUAGCGUUAUUCGGAAUUACUGGGCGUAAAGCGCACGUAGGCGGAUCAGAAAGUCAGAGGUGAAAUCCCAGGGCUCAACCUUGGAACUGCCUUUGAAACUCCUGGUCUUGAGGUCGUGAGAGGUGAGUGGAAUUCCGAGUGUAGAGGUGA
rnacentral:rRNA from 1 species